rnacentral:rRNA from 1 species
UACGGGGGGGGCAAGCGUUGUUCGGAAUUACUGGGCGUAAAGGGCGCGUAGGCGGGUGGCCAAGUCGGGGGUGAAAGCCCGGGGCUCAACCGAGGAACUGCCGGAGAUACUGUCAGUCUUGAGUCCGGGAGAGGGGGGUGGAAUUCCCAGUGUAGCGGUGAAAUGCGUAGAUAUUGGGAGGAACACCGGUGGCGAAGGCGGCGCCCUGGACCGGUUCUGACGCUGAGGCGCGAAAGCGAGGGGAGCAAACAGG